rnacentral:misc_RNA from 1 species
UUUGAGCGUCAGGGGUCAUUUUAAGCCGGAAUCAAGGGUUUUCGGGACUAAUAAAGGGGACUUGGGGCUGCCUUCCCCAUUCUGUCAAGGGCGAUCAAAACCAUUGAACGGUCUGCCCUCGGCAGACUAUAUAGGGACGAAUUCCCGUCAUCACCGAUGACCAGACGGCUUUACCCCCCAAAAAAUCUGGCGGGCGAAGCGUAAAGGAGAUUUGCCAUGAGCAAUGCACCGCUGAUGCCGAAGGCGACUGCCGUGUGGC